rnacentral:rRNA from 1 species
AACGAACGCUGGCGGCAUGCCUAACACAUGCAAGUCGAACGGAACCUUCGGGUCUAGUGGCGCACGGGUGCGUAACGCGUGGGAACCUGCCCUUAAGUUCGGAAUAACUCCCCGGAAGGGGUGCUAAUACCGGAUAAUGUCUUCCGACCAAAGAUUGAACGCCUUUGGGUGGGCGCGCGGUGGAUUCGCUAGUUGGUAGCGUAAAAGCCUACCAAGGCGUGGAUCCAUAGAUGGUCUGAGAGGCUGAUCAGCCACACUGGGAGGGAGAAACGGCCCAGACUCUUACGCGAGGCAGCAGUGGGGAAUAUUGGACAAUGGGGGGUAGGCUGAUGCAGCAAGGACGCGUGAGCGCUGAAGGCCGGAGGGAUGUAAAGUUCGUUUAUCCGGGACGAUAAUGACAGUACCGGGAGAAUAAGCUCCGGCUAACUCCGUG